UACGGGGGGGGUAAGCGUUGUUCGGAAUUACUGGGCGUAAAGCGCGUGUAGGCGGCCAGGUAAGUCGGAUGUGAAAGCUCCGAGCUCAACUCGGAAAUGGCAUUGGAAACUACCUUGCUCGAGGGUUUGAGGGGGGACUGGAAUACUUGGUGUAGCAGUGAAAUGCGUAGAUAUCAAGUAGAACACCAGUGGCGAAGGCGAGUCCCUGGAAAACUCCUGACACUGAGGCACGAAAGCUAGGGGAGCAAACAGG
rnacentral:rRNA from 1 species